UUUUAUUUGCGUGAGGGAUAGUAGCGGCAUCCUUUUUUGCUUUAUAUAAGUGACUUUUCGGCUUUGAUAAAAAUGACAAGCAAAAAAGAUAUAGCGAAUAGCCCGACCCAAC
rfam:Mesonia phycicola strain DSM 21425 genome assembly, contig: Ga0070602_103